rnacentral:rRNA from 1 species
ACGAACGCUGGCGGCAGGCCUAACACAUGCAAGUCGAACGCCCGUAGCAAUACGGGAGUGGCAGACGGGUGAGUAACGCGUGGGAACGUGCCCAAAGGUACGGAACAACUCCGGGAAACUGGAGCUAAUACCGUAUGUGCCCGAAAGGGGAAAGAUUCAUCGCCUUUGGAUCGGCCCGCGUCUGAUUAGCUAGUUGGUGGGGUAAUGGCCCACCAAGGCGACGAUCAGUAGCUGGUCUGAGAGGAUGGCCAGCCACACUGGGACUGAGACACGGCCCAGACUCCUACGGGAGGCAGCAGUGGGGAAUAUUGGACAAUGGGCGCAAGCCUGAUCCAGCCAUGCCGCGUGAGUGAUGAAGGCCCUAGGGUUGUAAAGCUCUUUCGGCGGGGACGAUAAUGACGGUACCCGCAGAAGAAGCCCCGGCUAACUUCGU